rnacentral:rRNA from 1 species
UGGGGAAUAUUGCACAAUGGGCGCAAGCCUGAUGCAGCCAUGCCGCGUGUAUGAAGAAGGCCUUCGGGUUGUAAAGUACUUUCAGCGGGGAGGAAGGGAGUAAAGUUAAUACCUUUGCUCAUUGACGUUACCCGCAGAAGAAGCACCGGCUAACUCCGUGCCAGCAGCCGCGGUAAUACGGAGGGUGCAAGCGUUAAUCGGAAUUACUGGGCGUAAAGCGCACGCAGGCGGUUUGUUAAGUCAGAUGUGAAAUCCCCGGGCUCAACCUGGGAACUGCAUCUGAAACUGGCAAGCUUGAGUCUGGUAGAGGGGGGUAGAAUUCCAGGUGUAGCGGUGAAAUGCGUAGAGAUCUGGAGGAAUACCGGUGGCGAAGGCGGCCCCCUGGACAAAGACUGACGCUCAGGUGCGAAAGCGUGGGGAGCAAACAGG